AGAGUUUGAUCAUGGCUCAGAUUGAACGCUGGCGGCAGGCUUAACACAUGCAAGUCGAGCGGUAGAGACCUUCGGGUCUUGAGAGCGGCGGACGGGUGAGUAAUACAUAGGAAUCUGCCUGGUAAUGGGGGAUAGCCCGGGGAAACCCGGAUUAAUACCGCAUGCGCCCUACGGGGGAAAGGAGGGGAUCUUCGGACCUUUCGUUAUCAGAUGAGCCUAUGUCGGAUUAGCUGGUUGGUGAGGUAAAGGCUCACCAAGGCGACGAUCCGUAACUGGUCUGAGAGGAUGAUCAGUCACACUGGAACUGAGACACGGUCCAGACUCCUACGGGAGGCAGCAGUGGGGAAUAUUGGACAAUGGGGGAAACCCUGAUCCAGCCAUGCCGCGUGUGCGAUGAAGGCUUUCGGGUUGUAAAGCACUUUCAGUCGGGAGGAAAGGGUGCAGGCUAAUAUCCUGUGCAGUUGACGUUACCGACAGAAGAAGCACCGGCAAACUCCGUGCCAGCAGCCGCGGUAAUACGGAGGGUGCGAGCGUUAAUCGGAAUUACUGGGCGUAAAGCGCGCGUAGGCGGUUACUUAAGCGAGAUGUGAAAUCCCCGGGCUUAACCUGGGCACUGCAUUUCGAACUGGGUGACUGGAGUUUUGGAGAGGAGAGUGGAAUUCCCGGUGUAGCGGUGAAAUGCGUAGAGAUCGGGAGGAACAUCAGUGGCGAAGGCGGCUCUCUGGCCAAAAACUGACGCUGAGGCGCGAAAGCGUGGGGAUCAAACAGGAUUAGAUACCCUGGUAGUCCACGCUGUAAACGAUGAGCACUAGCCGUUGGAACCCUUAGAGGUUUUAGUGGCGUAGUUAACACACUAAGUGCUCCGCCUGGGGAGUACGGCCGCAAGGUUAAAACUCAAAUGAAUUGACGGGGGCCCGCACAAGCGGUGGAGCAUGUGGUUUAAUUCGACGCAACGCGAAGAACCUUACCUGGUCUUGACAUCCUGCGAACCCUUGAGAGAUUGAGGGGUGCCUUCGGGAGCGCAGAGACAGGUGCUGCAUGGCUGUCGUCAGCUCGUGUUGUGAAAUGUUGGGUUAAGUCCCGUAACGAGCGCGACCCUUGUCCCUAUUUGCCAGCACGUCGGGUGGGAACUUUAGGGAGACUGCCGGUGACAAACCGGAGGAAGGUGGGGACGACGUCAAGUCAUCAUGGCCCCUUACGACCAGGGCUACACACGUGCUACAAUGGGGCGUACAGAGGGUUGCAAAGCCGCGAGGUGGAGCUAAUCUCACAAAGCGUCUCGUAGUCCGGAUUGGAGUCUGCAACUCGACUCCAUGAAGUCGGAAUCGCUAGUAAUCGCGAAUCAGAAUGUCGCGGUGAAUACGUUCCCGGGCCUUGUACACACCGCCCGUCACACCAUGGGAGUGGGUUGCACCAGAAGUAGCUAGUCUAACCGCAAGGGGGACGGUUACCACGGUGUGAUUCAUGACUGGGGUGAAGUCGAAACAAGGUAGCCGUAGGGGAACCUGCGGCUG
rnacentral:rRNA from 1 species